rnacentral:rRNA from 1 species
GCAUAUCAAUAAGCGGAGGAAAAGAAACCAACAGGGAUUGCCCUAGUAACGGCGAGUGAAGCGGCAACAGCUCAAAUUUGAAAUCUGGCUUCGGCCCGAGUUGUAAUUUGCAGAGGAAGCUUUAGGCGCGGCACCUUCUGAGUCCCCUGGAACGGGGCGCCAUAGAGGGUGAGAGCCCCGUAUAGUUGGAUGCCUAGCCUGUGUAAAGCUCCUUCGACGAGUCGAGUAGUUUGGGAAUGCUGCUCAAAAUGGGAGGUAAAUUUCUUCUAAAGCUAAAUACCGGCCAGAGACCGAUAGCGCACAAGUAGAGUGAUCGAAAGAUGAAAAGCACUUUGAAAAGAGGGUUAAAUAGCACGUGAAAUUGUUGAAAGGGAAGCGCUUGUGACCAGACUUGCGCCGGGCGGAUCAUCCGGUGUUCUCACCGGUGCACUCCGCCCGGCUCAGGCCAGCAUCGGUUCUCGCGGGGGGAUAAAGGUCCUGGGAACGUAGCUCCUCCGGGAGUGUUAUAGCCCGGGGCGUAAUGCCCUCGCGGGGACCGAGGUUCGCGCAUCUGCAAGGAUGCUGGCGUAAUGGUCAUCAGCGACCCGUCUUGAAACACGGACCAAGGAGUCAAGGUUUUGCGCGAGUGUUUGGGUGUAAAACCCGCACGCGUAAUGAAAGUGAACGUAGGUGAGAGCUUCGGCGCAUCAUCGACCGAUCCUGAUGUUUUCGGAUGGAUUUGAGUAGGAGCGUUAAGCCUUGGACCCGAAAGAUGGUGAACUAUGCUUGGAUAGGGUGAAGCCAGAGGAAACUCUGGUGGAGGCUCGCAGCGGUUCUGACGUGCAAAUCGAUCGUCAAAUCUGAGCAUGGGGGCGAAAGACUAAUCGAACCAUCUAGUAGCUGGUUACCGCCGAAGU